AGGGGCAUAGUUCAGUAGGUAGAACAUCGGUCUUCAAAACCGAGUGUCACGAGUUCGAGUCUUGUUGCCCCUG
rnacentral:tRNA from 13 species